rnacentral:rRNA from 1 species
UACAGAGGGGGCAAGCGUUGUUCGGAAUUACUGGGCGUAAAGGGCGCGUAGGCGGCCUGUUAAGUCGAACGUGAAAUCCCCGGGCUCAACCCGGGAACUGCGUCCGAUACUGGAUGGCUUGAAUCCGGGAGAGGGAUGCAGAAUUCCAGGUGUAGCGGUGAAAUGCGUAGAUAUCAGGAGGAACACCAAUAGCGAAGGCAGCUCGCUGGGACGGUACUGACGCUAAGGCGCGAAAGCGUGGGGAGCAAACAGG